ensembl:lncRNA
GUUUUGCUUCCCUCGCUCUCGUCAUGUCAGAUUACUCCCAGCUGUGCUCCCCUUCUGUGUCUCAUGCCCUCGUUAUCCCAGUGUGUAUUUAAGCCCUGUGUUUUCCUUGUUCUGUGUUGGGUUGUGGAUAGGGAUGCGUAUCGAGAACCGGUUCACACUGUUUCAAUUCCUUGGAAUUGUUUGCCAUUUUUGCAAACGAUUCCCUUAUCGAUUCCAGUCGCCCCGAAUGACGUCACCACGUUGCGGAGCGUCAUUUACCUGGCAGGAAACACGGCGCGUAAGCGGCUCAAACGCUCAAAAGUUUGAUUAUACUUUACGAGAACGGAUGACAACAGGGCAACUUGCAAUACUUGCAAAGUAGUUUCAUUUAAGGGAGGAAACACUACGAAUAUGCAAAAGCAUUUGCUCACAAAACACGUGAUGACCUUAAAUGAAUGUCAUGUUUUUAAUUCCGCUCCGGACUCGUGAAUCUCAACCCAGCAGCAGCGGUAACGUUUGCACGUCCUCUCCCGUUAAUGCGGCAGGUAAAUAAUCAACUAACAGUGCAUAUUAUGUUAGCGCAAUCUGCCUUAUUACAAAACCGGCCAUUACUGUGCAUUUAGGUGACCAUGAUGAGAGAGACAGACAGAGUCUGGCUCAGAUGCUGGUAGUUCUCGCUGCAGUCUACCGGUAGCGCCUCCUUUCAGGCCAGGAUAGACGAAUGUCACCGAGCAGUGACUAAGUUUGUGGUCAAAGGCUUGCACCCAUUUGCCACAGCAGAUGCCCCCGAUAUUCGAGCCGUAGGCUGGAUCUCUUAAGAUCUCACUGUUGGGUUUGUAAGGCCAUGUUACUCCUAAAUUUCUAUCUUGUUCAAAGAGAAGAUAUAAAACAAAGUUCUAAGCUAAUCGACCUUAGUGUUCUCCUUUUUUAAAAAGAAUCGAUAAGAGAAUCGAUAAAGAAUCAAAUCGUUAAACAGAAUCGAAAAUGGAAUCGGAAUCGUGAAAAUCUUAUCAAUACCCACCCCUAGUUGUUGACGUUCACGGCCUCCCUGUGCUGUGUUUGGAAAUUAUUCUUAGUUCUUGGUUCUGUUCCCGUGGGUUCUUUAGUUUUAGGUUCCAGUGUCCAGUCUAGUUUUGUGUUUAUGAUUUUGGUUGUGUUUCAGUAAUGUUUAUUUCUCUGAUGAGUCAUCCCAGUGAAUAGACUGCACUUUAAGUUAACCUCUUGGUUAUGAGUCCUGUGUGUGGGUCCUCCAUCCUGCCUGCUCCACAGCACACUGCGACUGCUCCGUGACAAAAGAUCUGCAUUCGUAACUGAAACUACAACAUACUCCUAAACAGGAACCAGGAAAUAAAUACAUGUACCAGCAAAACUGGAUUCCGUUUCUGAGAAAAGGAAGUGAUUGUCAGAGGUUUGUAAUUCUAAUGAAGAGAGCAGUUUAAGCUGACUUUAUAACUUGUUUGGGAUCCUUUUCCCCUGUGGCAUUAAAAUUUUAAGGUUGUGGUUGUUAAAUAAGACACUGGUGUCAUGAAAGGAUAUUUGUGAUAAGCUCAGUUUGUUAUAAAUUUUACAGAUGAUAAUGUCCUUUUCUUUUGUAAGUUACAUUUAAAUAAAACAUUAAAUAGCUGUGCUUUGCUCCUAGGAAGAAGCAAAGUAGUGGUAACUACAGAGGAUAGCUACUCAAAAACUGUUCUCUUGCAUAUGCAUGUUUUGUUAUAGUUGCAUAUCACCCAGCACAGUGAAUGCUUGUGCAUCACCCAAUUCACCUACACAAUACCCUACAC